rnacentral:rRNA from 1 species
UCGUGAGACAGUUCGGUCCCUAUCUGCCGUGGGCGUUGGAAGAUUGAAGGGGGCUGCUCCUAGUACGAGAGGACCGGAGUGGACGAACCGCUGGUGUUCGGGUUGUCAUGCCAAUGGCAUUGCCCGGUAGCUAAGUUCGGAAUUGAUAAGCGCUGAAAGCAUCUAAGCGCGAAGCGAGCCCUGAGAUGAGUCUUCCCUGGCACUUUAAGUGUCCUAAAGGGUUGUUCGAGACUAGAACGUUGAUAGGUUGGGUGUGUAAGCGCUGCGAGGCGUUGAGCUAACCAAUACUAAUUGCCCGUGAGGCUUAACCAUACAACACCGAAGGGGUUUUGU